rnacentral:tmRNA from 1 species
GGGGAUGUGCGAUUUGACAGGAAAUAUAUGUUUUUUGUGGCGUGUCGAGCUUUUCUUGUAUUUGCUGCUCGUAAAUGCAAAAUGCAAGUUGUGUCAUUUCUGGCACAGACUCCAAACAAACGUCAAAAACAGAAUUUUUGGCUUUUUGCCUAAGAUUGAAGUACAGUUGCCUAGUCUAAACUUCGCAGCUUUCAAUCUUGCAAAAGCUGCUGCCUAACUAGUUGAGCCUCUGGCUCCUUAUUAGGCCCGUUUGCAUGAUUCUUCUCAGGUGGGAUUUUGCAGGCGUAAUUUAGCCUGAGCGCAGGAUAUUCUCGGUUGUUUAGCGGGAAUAAUCCGAAGAUACAAUCUAAACAGUGAGCUUUUGGUUUUUGGCUAUUUUUAUCGAUUGCUCUCUGAAACAAAUAGCCUACACACGUAGAAGUAAAACGCAAUAUUUCUUGAACGGGGUUUCAACACCCCCAUCUCCACAA